rnacentral:rRNA from 1 species
GAUGAACGCUAGCGGCAGGCUUAACACAUGCAAGUCGAGGGGUAUAGUUCUUCGGAACUAGAGACCGGCGCACGGGUGCGUAACGCGUAUGCAAUCUACCUUUUGCAGAGGGAUAGCCCCAGAGAAAUUUGGAUUAAUACCUCAUAGUAUAGCAGUUUCGCAUGAAACCACUAUUAAAGUCACAACGGUGAAAGAUGAGCAUGCGUCCCAUUAGCUAGUUGGUAAGGUAACGGCUUACCAAGGCACGAUGGGUAGGGUACCGUGAGAGGAGAUCCCCACACUGGUACUGA